rnacentral:rRNA from 1 species
AACGAACGCUGGCGGCAUGCCUAACACAUGCAAGUCGAACGAGACCUUCGGGUCUAGUGGCACACGGGUGCGUAACGCGUGGGAACCUGCCCUUAGGUUCGGAAUAACUCCCCGAAAGGGGUGCUAAUACCGGAUAAUGUCUUCGGACCAAAGAUUUAUCGCCUUUGGAUGGGCCCGCGUUGGAUUAGCUAGUUGGUAGGGUAAAAGCCUACCAAGGCGACGAUCCAUAGCUGGUCUGAGAGGAUGAUCAGCCACACUGGGACUGAGACACGGCCCAGAAUCCUACGGGAGGCAGCAGUGGGGAAUAUUGGACAAUGGGCGAAAGCCUGAUCCAGCAAUGCCGCGUGAGUGAUGAAGGCCUUAGGGUUGUAAAGCUCUUUUACCCGGGAUGAUAAUGACAGUACCGGGAGAAUAAGCUCCGGCUAACUCCGU